UGACAACCUAUGCCAGACCCGUGAGCUAAUUUACGUGACUGGACAUGUGAACGCGUUUGCAUCUUUGAAAGUUCGCGACCUGAAGGUUCAUAGGAAUUAUUCUUCUUUGUUGCGUGAUAUCCAGCGUCUUGAAGAUCAUUGCUUCAUGUAUUUUUUUUUUCCUGGUUUUUGGUGACUAUGAAGAAAAAUAGAGCAAGGUAGGGGAUGGAGAUCAACGUGGAAUAGAGUAUAGAUUUGGAUAGGCUGCUCAGGACCGUCUAUGAGGGCUUAAUUUGAAGAAACGAUGAAGUAACAGAAGGAGUGAGCUACGAGGCUAUCUUGGGGAAGAAUGUUUCAGGUGGAAAGAGGCUGGAGAAUUGAGGCUGAAUCAGCAAGAGACCAAAAAGGAGCAGCCAGUGAGAUGGGACAAAACACAGGAAAGCGUGGAAUCGUGAAAGCCUGGCACUCAGAAAGCAUUUCAAGUACUAGGAAGGGAUCAACCUUAUCGAGUGUUACAGAGAGAUCGAGAAAGAUGAAAACUAAGAAUUGAUAUUGGAUUAUUCAACAUGCAGGUAGGUCUUCAGGGAUAGUUCCUUUCUUAUUAUCUCACAAGCCUCAAAUAUUGGAGGCAUUGCAUUUAUUAAAUUAAAUUCAGGUUGUUGAAGGUCACUGUGGGAUCGGUGCCCUACCAUCUGAGGGAUGAUGGAACACCGUCCUAGAAGGGCUGCCUUGUGGAGCUCCUUCAAGCAACAUGAGCAGUGACCUCGUAGUGGAUGGGCUUGCCUUCUUCCCAGGGGAUAGGGAUCGUCUCUUGACCAGGAUCUAAAGGAAGAAGUCAGUAUUCCAUUCAGAGUUUAUUUCUUUGUUUAAUUUUGAAUAUUAUCAUAUUCUAUAUGUACCCCCAAAGAUACUAGGAAUCCACGAGAACCCAAAGGUACGACUUGAUAAAGAAAACUCUCCUUUUCACUCCAUUAAAAAUAUUACACUCCACCUGUGAUUAAAAAGAGA